GAUGAACGCUGGCGGCGUGCUUAACACAUGCAAGUCGAACGAUGAUGCCCAGCUUGCUGGGUGGAUUAGUGGCGGACGGGUGAGUAACACGUGAGUAACCUGCCCUUGACUCUGGGAUAAGCCUGGUAAACUGGGUCGAAUACCUGAUACGACCAUCUUUCGCAUGUCAUGGUGGUGGAAAGCUUUUGUGGUUUUGGAUGGACUCGCGGCCUAUCAGCUUGUUGGUGGGGUAAUGUCCUACCAAGGCGUCGACGGGCAGCCGUCCUGAGAGGGUGACCGGCAACACAGGGACUGGGGAACGACCCGGACUCAAACGGGAGGAAGGAGUGGGGAAUAUAGGACAAAGGGCGCAAGCCGGAAGCAGCGACGCCGGGUGGGGAAUGACGGCUUUCGGGUUGGAAACCAUUUUCAGUAGGGAGGAAGCGGAAGGAACGGUACCAGCAGAAAAGGCACGGGUUAACUAGGU
rnacentral:rRNA from 1 species